UACGUAGGUCUCGAGCGUUAUCCGGAUUUACUGGGCGUAAAGCGUCCGUAGCCUGACAUAUAAGUCUGUUUUCAAAUACUCUGACUCAAUCAGAGAAAGGGGAUAGAUACUGUAUGUCUAGAGACUGUUAGAGGUUAGUGGAAUUUCAGGUGGAGCGGUGAAAUGCGUUGAUAUCUGAAAGAAUGCCGAAAGCGAAAGCAGCUAACUAUAAUAAAUCUGACGGUGAUGGACGAAAGCUUGGGGAGCGAACGGGAUUAGAUACCCGCGUA
rnacentral:rRNA from 1 species